rnacentral:rRNA from 1 species
UACGGAGGGGACUAGCGUUGUUCGGAAUUACUGGGCGUAAAGCGCACGUAGGCGGAUUUGUAAGUCAGGGGUGAAAUCCCGGGGCUCAACCUCGGAACUGCCUUUGAUACUGCAAAUCUCGAGUUCGGAAGAGGUGAGUGGAAUUCCUAGUGUAGAGGUGAAAUUCGUAGAUAUUAGGAAGAACACCAGUGGCGAAGGCGGCUCACUGGUCCGGUACUGACGCUGAGGUGCGAAAGCGUGGGGAGCAAACA